rnacentral:lncRNA from 1 species
GGAUGCAUGUGCGGCUUGCAACAUCAUCCUUAAGCCUGGAUCAGCGAGGUUAGAAUGUCUAACUUGCAAGGUAAUAGAUCUGAUCUAUUGUUUAAUACAUACAUUAGAUGUAGUAUAGAAACAUGUUGAUAUGAUCAACAUGUAGUUCAUGCUCUAUAUAUUUUAAUUUUUGAUUUAAUACUAUGUAAUAAUCAUGUAAUAGGAUCUUAGAUCUAG